rnacentral:rRNA from 1 species
AGAGUUUGAUCCUGGCUCAGAAUGAACGCUGGCGGCGUGCUUAACACAUGCAAGUCGUACGAGAAAUCCUUAGCUUGCUAGGGAGAGUAAAGUGGCGCACGGGUGAGUAUCGCGUGGGUAAUCUGCCCUUGAAUUCAGGAUAACAUUUCGAAAGGGGUGCUAAUACUGGAUAAUAUCCUUUUGGUUACGGCCAAAAGGAUCAAAGAUAGCCUCUACAUGUAAGCUAUUGUUUAGGGAUGAGCCCGCGUACCAUUAGCUAGUUGGUGAGGUAAUGGCUCACCAAGGCGACGAUCCGUAACUGGUCUGAGAGGAUGAUCAGUCACACUGGAACUGAGACACGGUCCAGACUCCUACGGGAGGCAGCAGUGGGGAAUAUUGGACAAUGGGCGAAAGCCUGAUCCAGCCACGCCGCGUGUGUGAAGAAGGUCUUCGGAUUGUAAAGCACUUUAAGUUGGGAGGAAGGGUAGUAACUUAAUACGUUGCUACUUUGACGUUACCGACAGAAUAAGCACCGGCUAACUUCGUGCCAGCAGCCGCGGUAAUACGAAGGGUGCAAGCGUUAAUCGGAAUUACUGGGCGUAAAGCGCGCGUAGGUGGUUCAGUAAGUUGGAAGUGAAAUCCCCGGGCUCAACCUGGGAACUGCUUUCAAAACUGCUGAGCUAGAGUACGGUAGAGGGUGGUGGAAUUUCCUGUGUAGCGGUGAAAUGCGUAGAUAUAGGAAGGAACACCAGUGGCGAAGGCGACCACCUGGACUGAUACUGACACUGAGGUGCGAAAGCGUGGGGAGCAAACAGGAUUAGAUACCCUGGUAGUCC